rnacentral:rRNA from 1 species
GACGAACGCUGGCGGCGUGCUUAACACAUGCAAGUCGAACGGUGAAGGGACCGGUUUUUGCUGGUUCUGGAUGAGUGGCGAACGGGUGAGUAACACGUGAGUAACCUGCCCCCUUCUUCUGGAUAACCGCAUGAAAGUGUGGCUAAUACGGGAUAUUCUGCGCCUGCUGCAUGGUGGGUGUGGGAAAGAUAUUGUUUCGGUGGGGGAUGGGCUCGCGGCCUAUCAGCUUGUUGGUGGGGUGAUGGCCUACCAAGGCGGUGACGGGUAGCCGGCCUGGGAGGGUGGACGGUCACACAGGGACUGAGGCACGGCCCAGACUCCUACGGGAGGCAGCAGUGGGGAAUAGUGCACAAUGGGCGCAAGCCUGAUGCAGCGACGCCGCGUGAGGGAUGGAGGCCUUCGGGUUGUAAACCUCUUUCGCCAGUGAAGCAGGCCUGUCCCUUUUGUGGGUGGGUUGACGGUAGCUGGAUAAGAAGCGCCGGCUAACUACGUG